GCGACGGGACAGGGUUUUUGCUGCCCGGGGCCUAGUCUACCUCGGCACGCUUUUCUCUGAAGGAGACACGCACUUGCACGACGUGGGCCUCUGUGCAGCUCUACUUUGUCCUUAACUCCUCUGACUCAACGUUAUCGCAGUUUGACUCUGGAGCCACUCAGGUUUUUCCUAAGCUCAACUCUAGCCAGCUAGGUUCCUGGUGCUUUGGGGGUAAGUUGUGUGCAGGGAGGGUGUUUUACAGGAGGCUGUG
rnacentral:lncRNA from 1 species